CGGUGUCGGCGUCGGCGCCGACGAAAAUGCAUCGUCAUUGAAGGCGACAGAGAAUGAGGGAGAGGGAGAGGCGAGAAGGGCGGGGAAGAGCGAGAGAGGCGUCGUCGUCGGAGACGGUAGAGGAGAGUCGGGGAAGAAAAAAAAAGAAAAAAAAAAAGUCGCGGCGCGGCCUUGGCGGGGUCGGAGGCGAGGAAGGUGGGGGGUGCGUGGGCGAGGGCAAGGGCGAGGGCGAGAGCGAGAGCAUAAGGGUGAGAGG
rnacentral:lncRNA from 1 species